AACCCAUGAUGUGGACAUUUUCCUUAAUAAUUCCUUGUAUCUUUCCCAUGCCUCAUAUAAAUGUUUCGCCUUCAUAUUGAGCAAAAUUGUUGAUUUCAAUCCGCAUCUU